CUACGGGGGGCAGCAGUGGGGAAUAUUGGACAAUGGGGGAAACCCUGAUCCAGCAAUGCCGCGUGUGUGAAGAAGGCCUGCGGGUUGUAAAGCACUUUCGGUUGGGAGGACUGCUUCUAGCACUAAUAUUGUUGGAAGUUGACGUUACCUUCAGAAGAAGCACCGGCUAACUCCGUGCCAGCAGCCGCGGUAAUACGGAGGGUGCAAGCGUAAUCGGAAUUACUGGGCGUAAAGCGCGCGUAGGCGGCUAGAUCAGUCGGGUGUGAAAGCCCCGGGCUUAACCUGGGAACUGCAUCCGAUACUGUCUAGAUUGAGUACAGGAGAGGAGAGUGGAAUUCCACAUGUAGCGGUGAAAUGCGUAGAUAUGUGGAGGAAUACCAAUGGCGAAGGCAGCUCUCUGGCCUGAUACUGACGCUGAGGUGCGAAAGCGUGGGGAGCAAACAGGAUUAGAUACCCGGGUAGUC
rnacentral:rRNA from 1 species